AUGAACGCUAGCGACAGGCCUAACACAUGCAAGUCGAGGGGCAGCACAAGGAGCAAUCUGAGGUGGCGACCGGCGCACGGGUGAGUAACACGUAUGCAACCUGCCUGUAAGCGGGGAAUAACCCGUUGAAAGACGGACUAAUACCGCAUAAUACUAAGUUACUGCAUGGUAAUUUAUUUAAACAUUUAUGGCUUACAGAUGGGCAUGCGCAUGAUUAGCUAGUUGGAGAGGUAACGGCUCCCCAAGGCAACGAUCAUUAGGGGUUCUGAGAGGAAGGUCCCCACACUGGUACUGAGACACGGACCAGACUCCUACGGGAGGCAGCAGUGAGGAAUAUUGGUCAAUGGACGAGAGUCUGAACCAGCCAAGUCGCGUGCAGGAAGAAUGUCCUUAAUGGAUUGUAAACUGCUUUUGCAGGGGAAUAAAGUGCAUCACGUGUGAUGUUUUGUAUGUACUCUGCGAAUAAGGAUCGGCUAACUCCGUGCCAGCCGCAGC
rnacentral:rRNA from 1 species